rnacentral:lncRNA from 1 species
CCUCUAGCUUGAAUCUUAGAUAUUAACCGAUUAACUGAAAUCGAUUACAUAGACUGGCUCACAAACUUAAAAAUUAUUUUUAAUUUUAAAAAAUUAAGCUACGUUCUCUAUCAAGUUAUUCUAAUAUUAACAACUUGUCCAACACAUAGUCAACGAGCUAUACUUGAUGAGUAGAUAGACAAUGACAAUAAAGAUAGGUGCUAUGCAUGAGCACAUGCUCACUGUCUACAACAUGUUGAUUCAUCUGUA